CCGUCACCCGAUGGUGAGGUUGAAAUGGGGAGGACGCCGGGAAGUGGAGGGUCGGGGUGAUAGACGCCCCCGUCCCGCAAGGGCGACAGCAUUCGAUCUGGAAGCCCUCCUUCACCCGGCCACGAAAAGCCCCCCAUGGACGAUCCAUCGGCCCGUACCGCAAUCCGACACAGGUGUGUUAGGCGAGUAUCCGAAGGCAUUCGGGAGAACCCUCGUGAAGGAACUCGGCAAAAUGACCCCGUACCUUCGGUAUAAGGGGUGCUCGGGGCAACCCGAGCCGCAGUGAAUCGGCUCUAGCGACUGUUUAUCAAAAACACAGGACUCUGCCAACUCGCAAGAGGACGUAUAGAGUCUGACGCCUGCUCGGUGUCGGUAGGUUAAGGGAGCCGGUGAUCGCAAGAGAAGCUGGCGACCGAAGCCCCGAUAAACGGCGGCCGUAACUAUGACGGUCCUAAGGUAGCGAAGUUCCUUGUCGGGUAAGUUCCGACCUGCAUGAAUGGCGUAACGACUGGAGCGCUGUCUCCACGAGGGACCCGGUGAAAUUGUAGCCGUGGUGAAGAUGCCACGUACCCGCGGUCAGACGAAAAGACCCCGUGAACCUUUACUGCAGGUUGACACUGGUCGGUCGGCAUUUCUGUGUAGCAUAGGUGGGAGGCAGCGACCCGGCGGCGCCAGCCGCCGGCGAGCCAUCGGUGAAAUACCACCCUGAAAUGGCGCCCGCCCUCACCGAUCCGUGGCCCGGAUCGGGACCGUGUUCAUCGGGCAGUUUGACUGGGGCGGUCUCCUCCCAAAGCGUAACGGAAGAGUGCCAUGGUACCCUCGGCCCGGUCGGCAAUCGGGCAACACGAGCGCAAAAGUACAAGGGUGCCUGACUGCGAGAGCGAUCGCUCGAGCAGGGACAAAAGUCGGCUCUAGUGAUCCGGCGGUGCUGGAUGGGAAGGCCGUCGCUCAACAGAUAAAAGGUACUCCGGGGAUAACAGGCUGAUCUCCCCCGAGCGUCCACAGCGGCGGGGAGGUUUGGCACCUCGAUGUCGGCUCAUCGCAUCCUGGGGCUGGAGAAGGUCCCAAGGGUUUGGCUGUUCGCCAAUGAAAGCGGUACGCGAGCUGGGUUCAGACCGUCGUGAGACAGGUCGGUCCCUAUCUGCCGUGGGCGUAGGAAACUUGCGAAGGGUCUCCCCUAGUACGAGAGGAUUGGGGAGGACCGACCUCUGGUGUGCCGGCUGUCCCGCUCGGGGCAUCGCCGGGUAGCCAGGUCGGGAAAGGAUAAGCGCUGAAGGCAUCUAAGCGCGAAGCCCUCUUCAAGACGAGGUUUCCAUGACCCUCAGGGUCUGAAGGCUCCUGGAAGACGACCAGGUCGAUAGGCCGGGAGUGCACGGCGGGCGACCGUCGCAGCCGACCGGUCCUAACAGCCAAGCGGCUUGACCAC
rnacentral:rRNA from 1 species